AUUGUGGGUUGAUAGAAGAUACUGGUAGAAGACGCUGAUCGCGAACCAAUCACAACGGUAGAAGAGGUUUUGCAUUUGCGGCAAGAAGACGUGAAGUGAACUAUUUUCGGAAUAGGCGGUGAAUUAAUUGUUGGUGUUUUCUGAAAAUAUUUUCGCUAUAUUUUCUGGCAAGGGGAGGUUUUAAUACUCACUCACACGUUUUUUGAUAAAUUUCUUCAGUGUAUUAUAUUGAUUUGUGAGACAGUCCAGGAUGUCUGACCGUAAGGCAGUGAUCAAGAAUGCAGACAUGUCUGAAGAAAUGCAGCAGGAGGCGGUGGACUGUGCAACCCAGGCCCUUGAGAAGUACAACAUAGAGAAAGACAUUGCAGCGUUCAUCAAGAAGGAGUUUGACAAGAAGUUUAACCCCACAUGGCAUUGCAUUGUAGGGCGCAACUUUGGGAGCUAUGUCACCCAUGAAACAAGGCAUUUUAUUUAUUUCUACUUGGGCCAGGUAGCCAUUUUGCUCUUCAAAAGUGGGUAACUUGUCAUGAAAGAGAGAAGCGAACUGCUCACUUAUGGCUUUAAUCUUUCAUUACUGACUGUGCUAUGAAAAUUUGGUAUAAUUUAUCUCUAAAACAUCUGUCUACAAUCAGAAAAUGGAAGUGUUAAUUGUUAUAUAUAUAAAAUGAGUUUAAAUAUAGGUCUCCAUUAUGCCUGUUUGUGUUGGUAGGAUUUAAAAAUUUUAAUAAAUCUCACAAUGGGACAUACUGUCUUGUAGACAAUUGUUAUUUUUUUCUUCAGAGGACACUUGUUAUUUCUGUUGUUUUGUUUGCCCAAAACAUCAUGGGGCCUGCAUUAUGAACUUUCUGGCACAAAAUUAUUUUGUGUUUUCAGAUUGGUUACCACUAAAAUUUUAAUGUGCAACAUCUCUGUGGAAGUAAUUUUGUUUUACAUAGUUUUGGGUAAGAUUAAGGCCAUAUCAUUAAAUUGUGUAAAUGUCCUCGAGUUUUAUUGCUUUAAAAUUUGUUAGCAGCAACUUGGUGUAUGAUUCUAUGUUUCUGUGCUUUCCUGGAAACCAGGUUAAAUGUGUUCUGAACAAAAAAUCAUAACUCAUUUUUAUAGUGUAAAUUAUGUUAAUUUAUGAGGAGGGGCUUCUUUGAGUUUGGGCAAAAGUGAUGGAAAUAAUGGCAGCUUUAUUUUUAGCAAAUUAAAGAAUGUUAUUUUAUUGUUGUAAUUUUUUGUAUAGUGAAUCAAAAUGGUAUGAUUUAGUGUGGUGUCUUGUUCUCGGCACUUGUAAGUGCUCAUGAUAAACCUCAGUAUCACUUAAAUUAGCACAGGGUGUAGUUAUGUAACGCACAGACACAAAUUGUAAAAUGUAGUGUGUUGGCUACUUCAGUUACAAUCCGGGUAACGAGAACAUGACAUUGAGGCUGUGAUUGUAAAGCAGUUACGUAUUUUGGAAAUUUUGUAAUGCAGGCUCUUAAGAAAGAAACUUGGCACAGCUGUCAUGUAAAAGCAAACUCCUUCGUGACUGAUAUUGAUGUGGAUUGUUCUCUAUGUACUCUAGAAGUUCAGUCACAUUGCUGGUACGUGCUUACAUAAUGAUAAAGCUAUGUGAUGCUGUGCAGGAAUCCUAGAUUGACUGCUGUAUGCAACAAAUUCAUAUCUAAAGGAAGUUGUGUUAGUAUGCAUUUCAGUUUUACCUCUUCAUCUUCACUUUCUGCAGCAGAUAUUGAAGUUGGGUGCACAAAGACUAUUUGAGGUUGUCUGCACGUAUUGCAGAGAAACAUUCCAAUUGACAUGUAAUUUUUGUCUACACUUGCUAUCUGUACAUCAUUUAUAUUAGUCUACAUUUGACAGAGAUGUAAGUUAAAAUGUAUUCUACCGUCUCAUUCCUUUUUUGUUUGAUUGGUAUUUACAUUGCCCAAGUGUUGUAAUACUUUAAUUACAUGUCAUAAAAUCGUAGUGUGAGUCUCAUUCUACCCUAUACACCUUGUGAAUAUUUGUAAUAUUUAAUGUGCAUCUAAUAAUGUACUCCUGUUCUGAAUACUUUUAAUACGAGGGUCUGAGUUACUGGCGGUGUGCCUGUAUCUUAAACUCCCCUGCGCAGACCUUUAAAAUAAGUAAAAAUAAAAAAAAAAACAUUCUUAAACGUC